rnacentral:rRNA from 1 species
UACAGUGACUGCAAGCGUUAUUCGGAUUCACUGGGCGUAAAGGGUGCGCAGGUGGCCAAGUGUGUCAGGUGUGAAAUCCCGGGGCUUAACCCCGGAACUGCGCCUGAAACUGCUUGGCUAGAGCAUUGGAGAGGGAAGUGGAAUUCACGGUGUAGCAGUGAAAUGCGUAGAUAUCGUGAGGAACACCAGAGGCGAAGGCGACUUCCUGGACAAUUGCUGACACUCAGGCACGAAGGCCAGGGGAGCGAACGGG